rnacentral:misc_RNA from 1 species
CCAAAAUGCAUUACAAUAACCUCGGUCGCUCAGGCCUCAAGGUCAGCCAGCUCUCUUAUGGCUCCUGGGUCAGCUUCGGCAAUCAGCUCGACGUCAAGGAGGCCAAGUCCCUCUUGCAGUGCUGCCGUGACCACGGUGUUAACUUCUUUGAUAACGCUGAGGUUUAUGCCAAUGGAAGGGCCGAGGAGAUCAUGGGUCAAGCGAUCCGUGAGCUUGGAUGGAAGCGCUCUGAUAUUGUUGUCUCUACUAAGAUCUUCUGGGGAGGUUCCGGUCCUAACGAUAGGGGCUUGUCCAGGAAACAUAUUGUAGAAGGCACCAAAGCUUCGCUCAAGAGGCUGGAUAUGGAUUAUGUUGAUUUGAUUUACUGUCACCGGCCAGACUCCUCAACACCAAUUGAAGAAACAGUAAGGGCAAUGAAUUAUGUGAUUGAUAAGGGUUGGGCAUUUUAUUGGGGGACUAGUGAGUGGUCAGCACAGCAGAUCACUGAAGCAUGGGGCAUUGCAGAAAGAUUGGACUUGGUGGGGCCCAUUGUGGAGCAGCCAGAGUAUAAUUUACUCUCCAGACACAAGGUUGAGUCAGAGUACCUCCCUCUGUACACCAACUAUGGCCUGGGUCUCACCACAUGGAGUCCACUUGCAUCUGGGGUGCUUACUGGAAAGUACAACAAGGGAACUAUACCUUCUGAUAGCCGGUUUGCACUGGAAAAUUACAAAAAUCUUGCUAGCCGGUCACUGGUUGAUGAUGUUCUUAAAAAGGUUAGCGGACUGAAGCCAAUUGCUGACGAACUGGGUGUGCCUUUAUCUCAACUUGCAAUUGCAUGGUGUGCUGCUAAUCCAAAUGUGUCAUCAGUUAUUACUGGUGCUACAAAGGAGUCUCAGAUUCAAGAGAACAUGAAAGCCUUUGACGUCAUCCCCUUGUUGACUCCUGCUGUGAUGGAGAAGAUAGAGGCUGUUGUUCAAAGCAGGCCAAAACGUCCAGAUUCAUAUAGGUGAUUAUUGUACGUGUAUGGUUUCUAGGAUUUCCACAAAUUAUGUAGCAGAUUCAUUGUUCGGAUGCAUUGGAAAAGCAAACCUCGCUCCUUAGUUCUGUUAUCAUUUAAGUGCGCCUGGUGUAUUAUUAUAUCUAGUUUCAUUGCCUAGGAGCUUCUGAAAUCCACAAUUGAUUUUCGUUUGUGGGAGGUUCUCAUUUUACAUUUGAUGAUUGUUUCUUGGGUUGGUGGAUAUGCAUUGAUAAUGAUCAUCAAAUGUAAAAUGAGAACCUCCCACAAACGAAAAUCAAUUGUGGAUGCUUUGUUUUGUUCUUUUUAAUAUUAUUAUUAUAAUUAUAAUUAUCCUCCUUUUGCCGCCCG